AGGAGGAGAGAGAGAGAGAGAGAGAGAGAGAGAGAGAGAGAGAGAGAGAAGAGAGAGAGAGAGAGAGAGAGAGAGAGAGAGAGAGAGAGAGAGAGAGAGAGAGAGAGAUGGAGAACAGAGUAUAACGGUCUUCCAAUCCAUUCAGGAAAGGAACAGGGGUUGUCCGGUAGAAAAGGAGAGAAAAGAAAGCGGGAGAGACUCUUUGACUUUCCGGGUGGCAAGUGCUGGAAAAGAACACAAGGAAGAUUGGUCAAGCGGGCCAAAGACGGAGAGAGGUUGGGGAAAGGGGGAGGUGGGAGUCCAAGGGAGCGAGCAAGGAACCCACUGAAAACAACCCCCACGCCCCUUAGGAAUAAAGCAUCUCCCCCACCAGUCCUUCCAAGUCACUGCCUUUGCCGGCAACCAGGAGGGGAAGACAGCGGCGGCGGCAGCGGCGGUGAAGGCAGCGCUGGCGGCGGCGGCCGGGGCAGUGGCUUGUUUGUAGCUGGGUUACAGAGUUUGGUUUGGAGAAGCAGAAGGAGGAGGAGGAGAAGGAGAGGAGGAGGAGGCGCUCGAAGGCAGCACCGGCGGCUGCAGCUACAAAAAGUAACCCGGGCGGGGUUGGUGCACGCGGCCCGGGGUGCAUGCAACAGCUUGCGGCAACCCGGAGCGAAGAUCGUCGCCGCCUUUGCUGCCCGCUACGGACAAGGACGGAGCGGGGUGGGAAGCGUAGCGCACCCCGCCUCCCCUCGGUGUCUCGGGCUCUCCCCCAACACACACACGCGCGCGCGCGCGUACACACACACACACACACACACACACACACACACACACACACACACACACACACGUGUGCGAUUCUCGGCUGCUCCUCCAGCCGCGGUGUCUGUCUUCUCUCGCAGAGACAUCGGCGCCCGCAGUGGAAGUGGGGAGAGCUGCUGCUUGUUCCCUACACCCCCCCCUUUUUUGAUUUUUAUUUUUAAUCUCUCUUCCCCCUUCCCAAUACCCAUAGCAUCCUGGAACACCCCUUUCUGUCGGGUUGCUAGCUGCCAGUCCUGGGGCCUCUCCAUCUCUCUCUCCCCACUUUGGCUGUAG
rnacentral:lncRNA from 1 species